GGAAGGAAGGAAGGAAGGAAGGAAGGAAGGAAGGAAGGAAGGAAGGAAGGAAGGAAGGAAGGAAGGAAGGAUUUUUAUAGUUUCCAGCGGAGGGUUUUGGGGUUGUGUGUGUAUGUGCUUGUAUUCUUUUUAAGUCUCAUUUGACAGAAUUGGUAGUAGGAAAUUUGUAAAGGAAGACCAGAGCAUAUUUAACUAUUCUGUUCCUGCACCGGAUUGUCCAGGCAUAAUAGAUGGAAUACAAUGUCUAUAACUUGAUACUUUGAAAGUCCCCCGCUCUCUUUUUGCCUAAGACAUCCUCUUCUAGGAUACUCUGAUGUUUUGGAUUCCUUGCUCCUGGACAGGGCAAUGCAGCAUGUUAACAACGAGGAUGUCACAGCUGGUUCUGGUUGUCCCACAGUUACGCAGAGUCCACCAAGCUCUACUCAAAUUGCUAAUUAGCAGAAGUUGAAUGCUUCUAUUUAAAGGAGAAAAUCAGUUCCAGAAGACGAUGGAGGUAAGACCUCUGUGAGACAAGUCUGAAUGUUCCAAGAUUUCUCUGAGAGAAUGGAAGGGGAGAUGUUUCUCAACACAGCAAUCACCUCCUGCUGUGCUACUGUUGAUGUCCCACAAAAAAAGGAGGUUCCAGGAAUACUUGCAAUACA